rnacentral:rRNA from 1 species
GAUUUCUGACCCUGUGGGCCUGGCCCGCCUCGAAAGAGCGUGUGUUGUCGGCGCCUGCUGGUCAUCUUUCUAGAAAACGCUCCUGCCCUUCACUGGGUUCGGGGGCGCGAUCUAGAUCUUUUACUUUGAAAAAAUUAGAGUGUUCAAAGCAGGCUUUACGCUGUGAAUACAUUAGCAUGGAAUAAUAAGAUAGGGCUUUGGUACUAUUUUGUUGGUUUCUAGGACCAAAGUAAUGAUUGAUAGGGACAGUUGGGGGUGCUAGUAUUCAAUGGCCAGAGGUGAAAUUCUCGGAUUCAUUGAAGACUAACAAAUGCGAAAGCAUU